rnacentral:lncRNA from 10 species
UUUAUAAAUGCCCUGGCAAUGUCAGGAAGUUAGCCUAUGUGGUGGUCUAAAAACAGAAGGCAUGAAUAAUCCACCCCUUGUUUAGCACAUAAUCAAGAAAUAACCGUAAGAAUGUGCAACCAGCAGCCCUUGGGGCUGCUCUGUCUAUGGAGUGGCCAUUCUUUUAUUCCUUUGCUUUCCUAAUAAACUUGCUUUCACUUUACAGACUUGCCCUGAAUUCUUUCUUGCGCGAGAUCUAAGAACCCUCUCUUGGGGUCUGGAUGAGGACCACCUUCCUGUAACAUCUUUCUGGCAACCACAGAAGGGACACAAAGGCUACCUUUGGCUUGGCCCCCAGGGCUAGGGUCCAGCCGCCGGGUCACUAGGACCACUCAAAGAAAGGGAACACAAAAGCCUCACGUGCCAGCAAAAGGGUUUCCUGGUUUGUGAUGGGACGGGCUGCUGUGAAGACCUCUGUCAUGCCCUGGAGACAUUGUCCUUAUUGUCUUGGCAAUUAACAUUUGGCAUGUCAUUACUUAUGCAAAUUUCUGCAGCUAGCUUGAACUUCUCCUCAGAAAAUGGGUUUUUCUUUUCUGUUGCAUUGUAAAGCUG